rnacentral:rRNA from 1 species
UACGGAGGGUGCAAGCGUUAAUCGGAAUUACUGGGCGUAAAGGGCGUGUAGGCGGCCUUGUAAGUCGGGGGUGAAAUCCACUGGCUCAACCAGUGACGUGCCUUCGAAACUGCUUGGCUUGAGUAUGGCAGAGGAGAGCGGAAUUCCAGGUGUAGCGGUGAAAUGCGUAGAUAUCUGGAAGAACACCGGUGGCGUAGGCGGCUCUCUGGGCCAAUACUGACGCUGAGGCGCGAAAGCCAGGGAAGCAAACGGG